rnacentral:lncRNA from 1 species
CUGUCUUUACAUAAAAGCUGCCUGCCUCCUUUCCCUCACUCCCCUCCCUGGGAGCAGAGGCCGCCGGGGAGGCAGGCUCCAGACAGCCCCUCCAGCAAUUGCCUUUUCUGGGUCAGGCCUCAUUUCUCGUGGCACGACAGGAGGAGGACGGGGGGCGGUUAUGACAACAAAACCACCCUGGGGCCCAGACCUGGAAGCCGUCAGCUAUGGAGGACCCUGGAAGCAGGCAGAGAAAGGUUUGGAGUUUUCAGUGCGAUGACACCAGCGUGCCUGCGGAAGUGGCUGUGUCUCCUCUUGCCUCCUUCCCCACCCAAUUCCGCCCCAGGAGCCCAGGGAUGGAGGCCCAGGAGACGGAUCCCACAAGAGCCAGCACCCACUCCACCCCAGUUUGUGUUUUCUAGAACCCCAUAAGAUUCGGAUGCAGCCAGUGGGGGACAGGAACUUCAGCAGGGGAAGCCGCAGCCCUGGGUGUAGACCCCAUCCACUCGUGCCUGAUGCAGCCCUCCUCUCAAGGAAGGGCGAGCUCACUGAAGGGGACAGGUCACAGGUCAGCCCAAUUCACCCUGAGCACAGAAAUGCACACUGCAUUUAGGACGGCCGGAUUGCUGGACCAAACCUGUCUCUCUGUCCCCUGCACACAUAUGCACAUGCGCAUGCACAGAGACGCAUGCUGAACUUCUACGGAAGAGGAGAGCGGUAGGACCAGGCUCUCCAGGGUCCUGCCUUGGGGUCUCUCCCCACAACUGUGGCAUAAACCUCUCUCCAGAAACAGAGGGCCUGAUAACCCGUCAGCUCCCCAGAAUCCGAAUCCUAAAAGGCUCUCCCCAGGGUUCGUCCGGCUUCAGCAGAGACCCUUCCCACCCAGGCCGGAGCCCUGCAUUCAGUUGCCAGGGACACCGUGCAGUACGGCCCCCAGCAACCUGAAGACAUCAAGGUCCCAUCCCCCUGCUUCCAAGCUGCCAACCUUCCUCAUUUCCUGGGUGGUGGGUAAGGGGCAGGGGGCAUGGGGCAGAAAGAGAUCCUCCCCCUCUCUUGGGGCUUCCUCCACCAGCCCCCUCCCCACUGAAGCUCCCUUCUGAAGGAGGCUGGAGAGCUGCUGCGGAGAGAGGAGCCCAUGUGGGAUGCCCUCCCAACACACACAGGCUGAUCACCUCACCAAAUCCUUAUUAAAACCAUCCCUGUUCAAAGGCAAAAUCAGCCAACCACCAGUGUCCCUCUGACCUAAUGUCCAGCAGGGCAAGAGCUCAAUGCCUGGAUGUCACCUCCAGGGCCUCAGCAACUGUGCAUCUCUGCUCAGGCUACCAAACAAAACACCCCAGACUUCGUGGCUUAAACACAGAAAUUUAUUUUCUCAUAGUUCUUAAGGCUGGAAGGCCAAGAUCAAGGUGCUGGCAGGGUUGAUUUCCGUGGAGGGCUCCCUGCUUGGAUUGCAGACGGCUGCCUUCUGGCCGAGAGCUCACGUGACGGAGACAGCGCACUCUCUGGGGUCUCCUCCUGUGAGGACACUAAUCCUAGCAGAGCAGGGGCCCACCCUGAGAACCUCACUUAACCAUAACUAUUUCCUUAGAGGCUCCAUUUCCAAAUACAGCCACCCUGAGGGUCGGGGCUUCCACAUCUGAAUUUGGGGGAGCACAAACAUUCAGCCUGUGACAAGGAUACCAACAGAUGUCAGCCACCACAGCCAGGCCUUGUGACCCAACAGGAGGCUGCGGUGUCCCUGGGCAUCGCUGGGGCAUGUCUCAAAUGGGUCUAAACCCAGUCUCUCUGGCUGAGAGCAGAGGUCUGAGAGGCUCAAUGGCAGGAAGGAGCCCAGUUCAGUGGGGAGGCAGAGAGCACGCAGCCUCCCUCCUUGGCGGGGUUCGGAUGCUGGCCAGCCUUCAGGGCUGGCCGGCUGCUGCCCAAGGCCUCCCGCUUCUCCAGGAAGGGCCCUCCCUUGCUCUCUCCCUCUCUGCACUCACCCCUUCUCCCUCUCCCUACACGCUUUUCCACUGUGAGACUGGAACAUCAUCGGGACAGCCCAGAAUGUCCUCUUCCCCUGCAGGAGCUCAGCAAACAUCCACAGAGUGAACAUUCCAAGCAACAUAGUCCAGGAGCCACGUUCCAGCCAUGGGGCCUCUGCACUGCUGUUCUCUUCACAUGGCCUGCCCUUCCCCCAGAAAGAGAGAAGAGGCCCUCUCUGGUUGUCCCAUCAAAACUCCACCCUUCUCUCACCCUCCUCCCAGCUGUAUCCCUUCUCUGCAGCCCUAACAUGCAUUCCACUUUAUUUCCCUUGUCUACUGUCUGCCUCUCUAACUACUAAGUCAGUUCCAGCCGCUCCAGGAUUUUUGUCUUUUCAGUUUAGCCCUGGUUCCUCAGGGCCUUAGUGACUAGUGUGUAGUGCCUAGCAGCCAGUAGAUGCUCAAUAACUGCUUGCUGAUUGACUGGGGUGAGCUCCCCAUCCAUGGAGCUAUUUCAAGCCAAGCCUAGACGAUCUUUCAGGGCUAGUUCUAACCUAAGACUUGGUAGUUCCAUGACUCUCUUCCUGGCCCAGACCGAAAAGGAACUUUCAGCAGGAACCCGGGACUGGGAUCUGAGAUGGGGCUCCUUGGAGGACUCUGACUAGGAAGAGAGACGGGAGGCCGCACCAAAAACACAAGCCCUUCAUGGGUCUCCCAGGCGUAGGUCUGGGGAAUCCCCCAGGCCCCUCAGGAUCGACCCUGCUGGCCCUGGAUCUCCAGGACGCGUCCCUCUGACCUGCCUGCCCGGCCUGUGAGUCCCCGGCAGCAACCGCUGCAGACACAGGCUGCCCAGCGCCAGGGCCAGGCCGGAUUAUCAUACAUUAAGACAUAAUUACUCUGCGGAAAUUUACAAUACAAAGCGCCCUCCCCAAGUUGGCUUCAGAAGGAUUCCAAGGAUACAAAGACCUGCUGUGUCUGCCACCGACCCAAGCUGGCCCCAGCCAGAAUUUCAAAAGAAGUGGGUGGGUUAGUUUUUGGAAAAACCCCAUUCUACCCUCCAGGCAGAAGCCCCGCCCCAAGGGUAGAGCCCUCUGAUACCCCAAGCCCCACCCAGAGGGGAGGGUCCCCUCCACCCCGACCAGCGUUGCUCCUAAACCACUCGGGUUCCCCCAAGCCCAGAAGCUCCAAGCUGACACCACCAAGGUCACCCCACUUCUCCCAAGUUCUCUCUUUUUAGACUAUUUAGGCCUAAGGGCAGAAAGAACCUUAAAUCCCAAGAUGCUAGCUUUUGACCUGCAGAGAGGUGUGGCAGCCCACUGACAUUGAUUAAGCGCCUGCUGUGUGCCUGGUACUGUGCCAGCAUCAGGAUGCCACAGAGAACAAGACAAACCAGAUCGCUGUGCUGGGGGGAGCUUACAGUCCAGUUGAGGAGACGCAGUAAGAUGCUAAAAAAAAAAAAAAUGCACAUCAGGUGUGCAGGAUGGGUGAGUGACCGGGGUGCACGGUGGCCAGAGAGCCUCAAAGGUGGCAUCUGAGCAGAGGCCUGAAUGAGCAAGAGAGACUAGCCUGUGCAAAGGCCCUGAGGUGGGGCCAUGUGUGGUGAGGGGUAGUGGAGGCAGAGAAUGCUGGCUUUUACUCUCAAGAGGGUUUCCAGCAGGGAAGCUGCCUGAUUCGGGGGACACUUGGCCUGCUGUUCUGUUAGAUUCCUGCAUCUACCACCUCCUGGCCCUGGGAUGCUGGGCAAGUCAGUUAGCCCUUUAAGCUUUUGUUCCUCCCUGCAAAAUAAAAACAGUAACCACAGCUAACACACGCUUGUUGCACAGAACAAGACAGAGAAAGUCGGGAAAGGGAGGGCCAUGCAUGUGAGGGGCGGGGGAGAAGCUCUCUGAGCCUUAGCUGCCCCA